rnacentral:lncRNA from 1 species
GGACCAGCUGUGCGGCGCAGGUGCAGCUGGCUCACUGGGAAGGGGCCCAGGCGCAGCACCUGCAGGGUGGGGCGGGUAUGUAGGGCGGUGCAGCCCGGGGACCUUCAGAUGCCGUUUCUCUGCUGCCCAGCACUGGCGGAAGGACCCGCGAGAGGCCUGGGAGGAAGCCGGUGUGAGGUGGCACAGUCGGUCAGCUGGCAUGGGGCCCAUGCUGCUGCCCCUGGCUCUGCUGGCCCUGCUGCUGGGGCCUGCGCUGGCCCGGGGUGCCCGGGAUCCGGAGGUGUUCUGUGGAGUAUUUUCUUCCAUUGGAAGCCAACCCAUUUAGGGAAACCUGGGAAGAGACAUCUCGUCUCCUUCAAUUUGGUUGAAUUCUGUCUCUCUGGCACGAACGGCCCUGAGUACUCACGGUGAACGCAGAGGCAGCAGCGCUGCUGCUCCAUGUCCUGAAGCGAUUCUCCUAAUCCUGCCUCGCAAAACAGAAUACAGAAAACCUAACCUACUCAGGGGGAAGUGAGUGUCCUGCCUGCCCUCCUUCCAGGAGUCAUAUUAGUAAUAAAAU